rnacentral:rRNA from 1 species
AUUGAACGUUGGCGGCAGGCUUAACACAUGCAAGUCGAGCGAGCGGCGGACGGGUGAGUAAUGUAUGGGGACUGCCCGAUAGAGGGGGAUAACUACUGGAACAGGUGGCUAAUAACGCAUACUUUCGGUUAAACCAUAUGGGAUUAGCAAGUAGGUGGGGUAAAGGCUCACCUAGGCGACGAUCUCAAGCUGGUCUGAAGGGAUAAUCGGCCACACUGAGAGUGAGACACGGCCCAGAUUCCAGCGGGGGCGGCAUUGGGGAAUAUUGCACAAUGGGCGAAAGCCUAAGGCAGCCUUGCCGCGUGUUGAAAGAAGGCUUUGGGGUUGUAAAGUACUUUAGUCGGGGAGACGUAACCGGCAGAAGAACCACCGGCUAACUCCGUGCCAGCAGCCGCGGUAUAC